CCGAGUUAUUCAACUCAUCAACCCUGUGAACAUACCUAAACGUUGCUUCGGCGGGAAUAGACGGCCCCGUAAAACGGGCCGCCCCCGCCAGAGGACCCUUAACUCUGUUUCUAUAAUGUUUCUUCUGAGUAAAACAAGCAAAUAAAUUAAAACUUUCAACAACGGAUCUCUUGGCUCUGGCAUCGAUGAAGAACGCAGCGAAAUGCGAUAAGUAAUGUGAAUUGCAGAAUUCAGUGAAUCAUCGAAUCUUUGAACGCACAUUGCGCCCGCCAGUAUUCUGGCGGGCAUGCCUGUUCGAGCGUCAUUACAACCCUCAGGCCCCCGGGCCUGGCGUUGGGGAUCGGCGGAGCCCCCCGUGGGCACGCGCCGUCCCCCAAAUACAGUGGCGGUCCCGCCGCAGCUUCCAUCGCGUAGUAGCUAACACCUCGCGACUGGAGAGCGGCGCGGCCACGCCGUAAAACACCCAACUCUUCUGAACAACAGGGAUUGCCCCAGUAACGGCGAGUGAAGCGGCAACAGCUCAAAUUUGAAAUCUGGCUCUCGGGCCCGAGUUGUAAUUUGUAGAGGAUGCUUUUGGUGAGGUGCCUUCCGAGUUCCCUGGAACGGGACGCCAUAGAGGGUGAGAGCCCCGUCUGGUUGGACGCCGAACCUCUGUAAAGCUCCUUCGACGAGUCGAGUAGUUUGGGAAUGCUGCUCUAAAUGGGAGGUAUAUGUCUUCUAAAGCUAAAUACCGGCCAGAGACCGAUAGCGCACAAGUAGAGUGAUCGAAAGAUGAAAAGAACUUUGAAAAGAGAGUUAAACAGUACGUGAAAUUGUUGAAAGGGAAGCGCUUGUGACCAGACUUGGGCUUGGUUGAUCAUCCGGGGUUCUCCCCGGUGCACUCUUCCGGCUCAGGCCAGCAUCAGUUCGCCCUGGGGGAUAAAGGCAUCGGGAACGUGGCUCUCUCCGGGGAGUGUUAU
rnacentral:rRNA from 1 species